GAUGAACGCUAGCGGCAGGCCUAAUACAUGCAAGUCGGACGGGAUCCAUCGGAGAGCUUGCUCGAAGAUGGUGAGAGUGGCGCACGGGUGCGUAACGCGUGAGCAACCUACCUCUAUCAGGGGGAUAGCCUCUCGAAAGAGAGAUUAACACCGCAUAACAUAUCUGACCGGCAUCGGUUAGCUAUUAAAUAUUUAUAGGAUAGAGAUGGGCUCGCGUGACAUUAGCUAGUUGGUAGGGUAACGGCUUACCAAGGCGACGAUGUCUAGGGGCUCUGAGAGGAGAAUCCCCCACACUGGUACUGAGACACGGACCAGACUCCUACGGGAGGCAGCAGUAAGGAAUAUUGGUCAAUGGGCGGAAGCCUGAACCAGCCAUGCCGCGUGCAGGAUGACUGCCCUAUGGGUUGUAAACUGCUUUUGUCCAGGAAUAAACCUAGAUACGUGUAUCUAGCUGAAUGUACUGGAAGAAUAAGGAUCGGCUAACUCCGUGCCAGCAGCCGCGGUAAUACGGAGGAUCCGAGCGUUAUCCGGAUUUAUUGGGUUUAAAGGGUGCGUAGGCGGCCUAUUAAGUCAGGGGUGAAAUACGGUGGCUCAACCAUCGCAGUGCCUUUGAUACUGAUGGGCUUGAAUCCAUUUGAAGUGGGCGGAAUAAGACAAGUAGCGGUGAAAUGCAUAGAUAUGUCUUAGAACUCCGAUUGCGAAGGCAGCUCACUAAGCUGGUAUUGACGCUGAUGCACGAAAGCGUGGGGAUCGAACAGGAUUAGAUACCCUGGUAGUCCACGCCCUAAACGAUGAUAACUCGAUGUUGGCGAUAGACAGCCAGCGUCCAAGCGAAAGCGUUAAGUUAUCCACCUGGGGAGUACGCCCGCAAGGGUGAAACUCAAAGGAAUUGACGGGGGCCCGCACAAGCGGAGGAGCAUGUGGUUUAAUUCGAUGAUACGCGAGGAACCUUACCCGGGCUUGAAAGUUAGUGAAGAGUGCAGAGACGCACUCGUCCUUCGGGACACGAAACUAGGUGCUGCAUGGCUGUCGUCAGCUCGUGCCGUGAGGUGUUGGGUUAAGUCCCGCAACGAGCGCAACCCCUAUGUUUAGUUGCCAGCAUUUAAGGUGGGGACUCUAAACAGACUGCCUGUGCAAACAGAGAGGAAGGUGGGGACGACGUCAAGUCAUCAUGGCCCUUACGUCCGGGGCUACACACGUGCUACAAUGGAUGGUACAGCGGGCAGCUACAUAGCAAUAUGAUGCUAAUCUCUAAAAGCCAUUCACAGUUCGGAUUGGGGUCUGCAACUCGACCCCAUGAAGUUGGAUUCGCUAGUAAUCGCGUAUCAGCAAUGACGCGGUGAAUACGUUCCCGGGCCU
rnacentral:rRNA from 1 species